ensembl:lncRNA
CUGUUUGUUUGUUUGUUUGUUUAUUUAUUUAUUUAUUUCCCCCCAUGAAAUCAGAAUGAACGUUUUGUAGGUUUUAAGUAGGAAUCCGUCCUCGUGACUACGCCUGGAUGUAAAUCCACAGAAAGCUUCUCGCUUUGGAAACGUUCUUGUCUGAUUUCCUCCUCUUGAGAUUUAAAAAAAGAAAUCGUUAUUUAUUUUUGAAUAACUUCAUGACGUGCAGUGAACUCUGACCGAGCAGCCGAUCUGUGUGUAAAUAUUCCCAGUGAGUUACUUGACGGACAUCUCUUCAGUAAACAUUUCCCGUCUCGCUGAUGUGGUGAGGUUUUUCUGUAAGGGGUCUCCAGUGUCCGAACAGAAGAAUUUAUGGUUUGUUUAUUUUGUUUUUUUUGCUAUUUUUGUCUUAUUAACGUCGAUGGAGAGAAUAAAGCACGGCUGGUGAGAGAGCGACUGUUUAUAGCCGCCGCAACGGCUUUCCUUUCCUGUAUGGAGCAGCUGCCAUGCCAGGAUGCAAGAACAGACUCCACCACACUGGGGCCGUAGUGGACAUCCUGGCUUUCUUCAGACGCCCGAGGAAGCCGAGGUGUCGGAGAUCCUUUUUGAUGAUGGAUCGAGUGAGUGUGACCCGUAGGAAUCUGAAGCUGUUGACCCUCUCUACUUUGUCCCCUCUGAUGGAGAUUGGUGUGUACCUUCUCCUGUUUCCUAAAGUCAAUCUCCAGCUCUGUGGUUUUACUGGCAUUAAGAAACAGGUUGUAGCUCUGGCACCAUCGUCCCCAGAACCUCACCUCCUACCUGUCGGCCGCCUCGCCAUCGCGGGCAAUCGGACCUCCGGCAAGGCUGGUGUCGUCGGCAAACUUAAUGACAGUGUCGGAGUGUGAAAGGCCACGUAAUCAUAUGUAAACGAGGAAUACCACAUCGGGCUCGGAACGCCUCCCUGUGGAACGCCAGUGUUGGCGAGGAAAUCCAGGAUCCAGUUGCACAACAUGGUGCUUAUUCCCAGAUCUAGAUCGAGCUCCGUGUUAAACACGGAGCUCGAUUCCCACACGCAGUUUAAUGUUCUCCCCGUGCUUCCUCCAGCAGUCCCGAAUGUGUGUGUGAUUGUGUCCUGUCCAGGGCGUCCCCCGAGUUCCUCGGGAUAGGCUCCGGAUCGGAAGGUCGUGAGUUCAGAUCCCAGCGCGGCCAUCGCUGGGCCCUCGAGCGAAGACCUUAACCUUCAACUAGAUAUAAAUGUAAGUUGCUCUGGAUAGGAGCCUCAGCCAAAUGCCAUUAGUGUGUGCGUGCGUCUGUCUGUCUGUCUGUCUGCCUCUGGGCAUUUCCUAAAGCUCAAUUUGUUCUACGUGUUUUUUUAGACCCAGUUGUUAAGAUGAAGCCAAAUAUGCAAAUACGGUUGAAAUUCAAAUGUUUCCACAGGAAGGGCUUGCUGUAUUCCCAGCCUCAUCAUUUCCUAGUUUGUUUUUAUUCAUUUGUCUUAUUUUAUCCAAAUAAGGAACAUUAAUGAAUAGUUGAUGGUUAAGAGCGAUUUUUAUUUAUUUUUUUAAAUCAUUUUUAUUAUAACCGUGGCAAACGAAGCAGAAGCAGAUGAUUUUGAUAUUCACAUUUUUGUUCUUUUGUUCAAGUAGCAUGAGAAAACUUGAGCUGGUCAAUUACGACAGAAUUUAGGAACACAGUGUGAACCACGACACAUUAAUCUACCUUCUGAGAAACUAAAUGUAAUAGACUAAAUGUUUUCAGUUCAUUUUACAGACUGUAUGCUAAAAACAACCGUUAACCUGUUUACCUUGUAAACAAAUACAAUAAACAUCAAUGCUCA